rnacentral:rRNA from 1 species
UACGUAGGUGACAAGCGUUGUCCGGAUUUACUGGGCGUAAAGAGCGCGCAGGCGGUCGUACAAGUCGCGUGUGAAAGCCCCCGGCUCAACUGGGGAGGGUCACGCGAUACUGUUCGACUCGAAGGCAGGAGAGGGUAGUGGAAUUCCCGGUGUAGUGGUGAAAUGCGUAGAUAUCGGGAGGAACACCAGUGGCGAAGGCGACUACCUGGCCUGUUCUUGACGCUGAGGCGCGAAAGCUAGGGGAGCAAACGGG